rnacentral:lncRNA from 1 species
CACUCUCCGUAACAAACUCCACGUGGCCCUGAACAACCCUUGACUCCACUACUCUCCGUAACCAACUCCGCGUGGCCCUGAACAACCCCUGAUGCCACUACUCUCCAUAACAAACUCCAGGCGGCUCUGAACAGCCCAUUACCAGAUGGUUACAGACGUCGCUGUCAAUCAGUUACGCCCUCCGUCUAUAAAAAAGGGCCCCC